GACGAACGCUGGCGGCGUGCUUAACACAUGCAAGUCGAACGGAAAGGCCCUGCUUUUGUGGGGUGCUCGAGUGGCGAACGGGUGAGUAACACGUGAGUAACCUGCCCUUGACUUUGGGAUAACUUCAGGAAACUGGGGCUAAUACCGGAUAGGAGCUCCUGCUGCAUGGUGGGGGUUGGAAAGUUUCGGCGGUUGGGGAUGGACUCGCGGCUUAUCAGCUUGUUGGUGGGGUAGUGGCUUACCAAGGCUUUGACGGGUAGCCGGCCUGAGAGGGUGACCGGCCACAUUGGGACUGGGAUACGGCACAGACUCCUACGGGAGGCAGCGGUGGGGAAUAUUACACAAUGGGCGGAAGCCUGAUGCAGCAACGCCGCGUGCGGGAUGACGGCCUUCGGGUUGUAAACCGCUUUCGCCUGUGACGAAGCGUGAGUGACGGUAAUGGGUAAAGAAGCACCGGCUAACUACGUG
rnacentral:rRNA from 1 species